GGCCCUGUCGUCUAGCCUGGUUAGGACGCGUGGUUUUCAUCCACGUAACACGGGUUCAAAUCCCGUCGGGGCUG
rnacentral:tRNA from 2 species